rnacentral:rRNA from 1 species
CAACGUACACAAUCUGCCUUAUACUGGAGCAUACCCCCAAGAAAUUGGGAUUAAUUCUCCAUAAUAUAUCGAAAAGGCAUCUUUUUGAUAUUAAAACUCAGGUGGUAUAAGAUGAGUGUGCGUCUGAUUAGCUAGUUGGUGAGGUAACGGCUCACCAAGGCAACGAUCAGUAACUGGUCUGAGAGGAUGAUCAGUCACACGGACACUGAGACACGGGUCCG